GACGAACGCUGGCGGCGUGCUUAACACAUGCAAGUCGAACGGGAGUAUUGAAGAAGCUUGCUUUAGAGAUACUUUAGUGGCGGACGGGUGAGUAACGCGUGAGGAGCUGUCCGAUGCAGGGGGACAACAGUUGGAAACGACUGCUAAUACCCCAUAAGCCGAGAGGUAAAAGGAUUUAUCCGGCAAUGGAGGUACUCGCGUCCUAUCAGCUAGUAGGUGAGGUAACGGCUCACCUAGGCGAAGACGGGUAGCCGGCCUGAGAGGGCGAACGGCCACACUGGAACUGAGAUACGGUCCAGACUCCUACGGGAGGCAGCAGUGGGGAAUAUUGGGCAAUGGGGGGAACCCUGGACCCAGCGACGCCGCGUGGGUGAAGAAAUCCUUCGGGAUGUAAAGCCCUGUUGUAUGGGAAGAGCGGAAGACGGUACCAUACGAGGAAGCCCCGGCAAACUACGUG
rnacentral:rRNA from 1 species